CAGUCGCCACGGGAAAACGAAGGGGGCUAGCGUUGUUCGGAUUUACUGGGCGUAAAGGGCGCGUAGGUGGACUGAUAAGUCAGGGGUGAAAUCCCAAGGCUCAACCUUGGAACUGCCUUUGAUACUGUUUGUCUUGAGUUCGAGAGAGGUAAGUGGAACUGCGAGUGUAGAGGUGAAAUUCGUAGAUAUUCGCAAGAACACCAGUGGCGAAGGCGACUCUCUGGUCUGUAACUGACGCUGAGGAGCGAAAGCGUGGGGAGCGAACAGGAUUAGAUACCCGAGUAGUCCCUGUCUCUUAUCC
rnacentral:rRNA from 1 species